UAAACUGCAAGAGCUAAGUAAAAAAUGGUACAACAUUAAGCAUUCUCGGAAUUAUAAGAGAUGUCAAGGUUAAGUCACCCUACGAUUUCCACAUAAAAGCUACGGCUAAGUAAUAUAAAGUUUAUAAAGGUCAACGUUAGAAUUGUAGAGGGUAUUUUUCUGAUGAGUGAGAAUGUCUAAACAAAGAAGACUGACAUUCGAACGUUGUGAAUUGAGGAUCUUGAUAUACUCUCCAAACAUCCUUGAUGUAAAUCGAGGAAAUAAAAGAAAAG
rnacentral:lncRNA from 1 species